GCUGCAAAAGUUAUCCUUUCUCUCUAGAAGUAUCUAACUUACAUGGCGUGCUUGCAAUGGUCAUGAUUUAGGAUGACCUUGUGUUCAGGUUGAAGUAAAUAAUGUUCUCAUAUCAUUCUUUCACAGAUAUUUGUGUAGUUCUCUAGCUUACAAUUUAUAACAAAUAAACUAGGAUCCUUUCUUAUUUUUUUCCUCAAAGAGGCAUACCCGACCGCAGUGAGGAAGGAGGGCUUCGGUCGGCUAUUCGGCGGCCUCCCCUACCACUCAAGAAAAUGAUGGCACCAUGACAAGGAAAAAUAUCUAGAGCCCACAACCCAGUGACCAGUUGAGAUAGGACUACUUAAGAAAUGGAAUUUUGAUUAUGUACGCCUACAAGGUAUUUGCUGAAAAUCCCAGAGGGCUGGCAGGGAAGGAGUGGUCUCUAUAAGCCAUGUGAUUCCAUUCUUCAAAAAAUUAGUACCAGCAAUCAUAGCAAGAUGAUUUUGAGAUUAAUAAGAAUCCAUGAGAUGAAUAAAAGUAUGAAGAAACAAGGAAUUCUGUCACAGGAGAAACUGUGGUACACCACUUCAACACGGCACAAGAGGCAGAUCAGGGCAUCUUCAAGGAUAAGGAAACAUCUGCAGACCUGAAGGUGGUUGGGAACUUGGGAUGUCCUUGCUAUUGGAGUGGUUCGCCGAAAAUUAUCGGCAGUUUGGUUGCACAUUGGAGCUUAUCACAAACAACACACAGGAAGGAUCUCAGUGUUGUACGGGCUAUGGUGGGAUAGGAGGGAUCCUGCACACCGGGUUGAGGUGAACGCUUAUGAAGACACACUUGAUGAGGAGUAUGAUGAAGACUUUGAAGACCAGUCAGCUGAAACUCCAGUGAAUUCAGUACAGGAGGAGCCUGUCCUAGCUCGGAACCGGAACGCGCCGUAGCAGGAGGCUGAGGCAUCUACAAGCUCAGCGAGGAAAGUUUAAGGAAGACGACGAGAAGACUUGAGAAAUGAUGAUAUAUAGCAUGCUGCUGCUGCUGCAUAAGUGAAGUCCUCUCAGCGUGAUUGGGAGGAAGACUGUAUUGCUGAUCUCCAUCAGAAGACUAUCCUAUUUAGUACUGUCAUUAUUAAUAAGAGGAAUCAUAGUUAUAAGUUACUAUUAAGUGUCUCUUGUGUGAUCUCGAAUUUGUGUGUUAAGUUUGUGCUUUAUUACUGUUGCUGCACCUGCGUCUGCAAUUCUGCAUCUGCUUAUCUGAACCGAAGUUGUGAUGCUGCCCUAUAUUUAUUUGAAAAUAAAAUCUAUUGUGCGUCUGUUGAUCUGAUAUGGCAAUAUUCCUGUUCAGUUGGCCUUGCAUUUUAUUUAUUUGCUACUGUAGUUUUUUUUGUGAGACAUUUUCCUUAGAAAAAAUAUAUGAAAUUGUGUGUAUUUUGUUUGAUCGUGAGGUUAUUUUAAGGUUUGCUUAUGUUCUCUUUGAAGGGAGUAAAUUGCAAAAAACCACCACAAUUGGGGACCCUAAUUCAGAAAACCACCAUCUUUCGAUUUUUUUUUCAAAUAACCACCACCAUUCUGCUGAUAGUUUUCAAAAAACACUGAUAGGUCACUAAACACAUGUUAACAACGUUUCUGGCAGAUGGGGGCCGAUGUAAGUGAUGAUGUGGCACUGAAAUCUUACGGUGUUUGGCCUGUACAGUAAACUGCACAUGGGACCCGCACGUCAGCCUCUAUACUUCCUCCUCCACAAGCGUUGACAGGGGGAAAUAAUCACACCUGCAUCUGACCGGCGCACCACCGGAUUCAGCCGCCGGCCGGCUCGCGAGCCUCCGCCUCCGUGAUCUCCCUCCACCUUGUCUAUCUAUGCUCCUGCACGCGAGCCGCAUCAGCGACCAUGCCCAGGCACGGGGGCGCGAGCAGCAGCGGCGGCAUCGACCAGGCACGGGGGCGCGAGCAGCCACGCAAGGGCACGAGCAAGUGCAGCGGCCACGGCUACGCACGGGGGCGCGAGCAGCAGCAGCAGCAGCCACGCACGGGGGCACGAGCUGCAGCACCGGCCGCGCCCAUGCGCGCGAGCAGCAGCACCGGCCUCGGGACGGGCCGCGAGCAGCAGCACCGGCCGCGCCCGGGCACGCGACCAUCAGCACCAGCCACGCCCGGGCACGCGACCAUCAGCACCGGCCACGCGACGGGCCGCGAGCAGCAGCACUAGCCGUGCCCGGGCACGCGACCAUCAGCAGCGGCCACGCAAGGCGGCUCGAGCUACCGCCUGCUACAGAGUACGGGCACGCCGCAGUGAUGGCAGGAACGCGAACUCUGCCCAGCGUCCCAACUACCCCGUGGGCGCCCUGGUCCGGCGCCGAGAUCCCUCAUGAGGGCCAUCUCCUUCCCCCCUAUUUCGCCGUUGCCCGCGACCUCCCGAGCACCAUGGCCGAGAGCACGAGCUCUUGGUCUGCCCCGCGCCCCGACUACCCCAUGAGCGCCUGGUCCGGCGCCGCCUCUCUGCCUGCGGCCGCGCUACCUCGCACUCAAGUCACUCGCAGCCCAUUCCUACACUGCCACUGGCGAGCUAGGCAGCCGACGGGAUGCCCUCUAGGUGUUUGAGGAAAUUACUCAACAGGACCUAACGUCCGUCUCCUCACUCUGUUUGGCAUAUGCCAGGUUGACCUGACAAUAGGAUCUACCCGUCAGAUUCGUUACCAAACGGCUCUAAUCAAUCGAUCAGUGUUUUCUGAAAACUGUCAGCACAAUCGUGGCGGUUAUUUGAAAAAAAAUCGAAAGGUGGUGGUUUUUUGAAUUAGGGUCCCCAAUUAUGGUGGUUUUUUGCAACUUACUCCUUUGAAGGUUUGCUUAUGUUCUCUUUGAUCCUUCCCGAAUGCGAAUAAGAAAAGAAAGUUGAAACAUGUUCACUAAUAUGUGUGCUUUGCAGGCUUUGUUUCCAUGUAGGGAUGUAUUUGAGUGUACACUUACCUGACUUUAUAUAGUGUGUCAUCUUUUGUUUAUGGCUAGAACUGCUGUAUCAAAUGUGCAAAUGGCACCAACAUCAUACAGUGGGCCAUGCCUGAUAGCUAUUGCUGUCAUUUCCCCUCCUGAAAUCAUCCUUUUCCUAUAUGUAGGAGGUUCAGUAAGGUUGCUCACCAAUGAGCUGGGAGUAUUUUUGUCCUGAGUACUUGCAUGAUUGAAAGAAGAAAUCAGGUAUUCCUAAAUGUGCUAUUGCAGAUCAAAGGUGAACUCAAACGAUUUUCUUACUUCAAUCUCAGUAGGCAAAGGAGAUGAAGCGCACGCGCAGUGCCAACGCCGCCGCCGCUGCCGGCGGAUUUUCUCUCGAGUCAGGGGAGGUGUUUGGGGGAUCGACUAGGAAGGAUCGAACGGCAGCUGGAGAAGACCUGCACAAGGGUGCCACCAGUCAUUAUGUUCUAGACCAAAUAGAUCGUAAUGCGAUCGAGUUGGAGAGGUGGAUUCAGACAACAGAUUCCUUCACAAAUUCAAAGGCAGAACUCAAAAAAGAAAGGGCAAGGAAAUGAAGGACGCAGGACUACUAGAGGCAAAGACAGACAGACGCGGCCGGAGCACUAUGACGGCUUUGAUGGGCGUGGAGGAGUGCACGAAGACGCUGCGGAGCUUGUCAGCAGGAGUAGCUGCUCCUGCUGCUGCAUCACAACCGCAUCCUGAUCUGCUUCGACAGGUUCGAGCCCUCCGUCACCGGCCGUGUGCACAUCUGGAAGGGUGUUGGAAAGGUGAUCAGUGUGAACAAGAUGGUCAGGGCCGGAUGCAAAGUGAAGAUCCUAAUAGUGGACUAGAGGCCUGGGCUGAAGGACUCCGCAAGAUCAAGGAGCAGCUGGACCACGACAAGGACGUCGGCGGUGGCUUCUCCGCCAUGUGGGAUUAUUGUUUGACCUUUCACAGUUACUUCAGGUGUCCAUAACAUCAAGCAUAAUUUUGGUGCUUCUUAACCUUUUGCAUUCUAUUCUAAUCCUAUGACAGAAGUUUUCUUAAUACUUUUAGUUAUGAAUUUUGUUUUGUGAUCUUCUUCCUGAUUCGAUGUGAUUAGCAUAAUACUAAAUUUGUUGGCUACUAAUUGAUACUUCUGUGUGAUACCUUUAGUGUGUGCUGACCGGAUUAAUCUAAAGUACCAAGAUUUGCUUGUUCAUUAUUUUCAUUCAAGCUAAUCGAAUGUUCAUUAUUUUGUGUCAAUACUGUACAAUAGAGAGCUGUCCAUGACAUGUAUGGGAGCAAGGGAACCGGAGGUACUAGAUGUAGGCACUAAUUGUAUUUAGAGUUCGGCUGCAACAAUCAAAUCUUUUAGGAUGGUACUAAUUAAUGUCUUGAUUAUUUUUUAUUCCAGUCAACAUCAGGUACAACCUUGACUAGGAGAUACCAUGAACAUAUCUUAGUCAAAUAAUUUAUGAGCGACUUGUACUGUUUACUUGAUCUUUGGUUCAGAAAAUAGAAUCUAGCUUCAGUCAAGUUAACCAUCAAUUUGUUUCAGGGUUAGUAUCUAUAAUUAUCCCAUGUUAAAAGAAAAUUGGUACUAUGAAUUAA